rnacentral:lncRNA from 1 species
GGCGUGAGGUCUAGGGUGGGUUCUAGGAUUUCGACUCUAGACUUUGUGUGAAAAAAAAUAUAAGAGUGAGUCUUGUCCAAUCUCUCACACCAUCAUCUCCUCAUAAAGCUUCAUCUUCUAAUCUGGAGGAGUCUGGGUGAUCCAAAGAAAGGAGAUUGGAUCAGCCAUCCAGAGUCUUCGACGCGAGCUAGCACUCUCAGAAAGAAAGAUUCGAUCAGGACUUCGAGUGGACGAUCUGUAGAG